ensembl:lncRNA
CUUCAAACGAAUUUACCACCGAUGUCUUCUGGUAUUAUUUUGAGCUUGCACUCAAAGAGUGAGAUGAUUAUUCAAAUAUUUUUCCCCAAAGCAUUUACAAAAGACACAGAGUUUGUGGAGAUACCAAUGUUAGGAAGAUCAUUCUUGUUUCUAUAUGAUCAGAAAAUAUACAACCCCAUCGAGGAAAGUGCCUCCAUUCAAGAAAUAGUUCUAGAAUGUCACCUAAUGUGUCAAGUAUUGUGUUUGUGCUGCCAGGGACAUAUGGCCCCUGCCCUUGAAUAGCCUACAACUGAUUCUGAAGGAAAAGGUGUGAUCAUAUAUAACCAUGAAACACAUUACAAUGGGUAAUGCAGUAACAUGGGAACCAUGGAGGGUUACAAUGGAUUGUUGGAUGAGAGUGCUGAUUCUCGCUGUGAAUGAGGCUUUGUGAUGAAAGUAGCAUGGCUGCUCUAUUUGAUUGGAGGAAACGGGGGAGCAGAACAUAAGCCCAGGCAUGACGUUAGCUGGGCAAGAGAAUUUUCUGCAAUCUCAGAGCGUGCUGGGAGAUAGGCUGGAAAAGGAGUUAGGGACCAGAUUAUGAAGGACUUGGAGUGUUGAGUUGAGAAGUGAAGACUUCAAGGAAUCAUUACUUAGUUCAAGGAACAUCAGUCAUGAAAUAUUCGUCAUCACCCAGCAUCCAUGCUGCUUGAAUGAGACCAUUCCUCCCCUUGAGGGUGUUACUGUCUAAGCUGGCCACUUCUCAGGAUUGUUUAUGAAAAGUGAGACAACACAGCAGAGAACACACUACGGGGUCCUUGCUGCAUUCGAUCUUCCUCUGGACAAAGGAAAGGUUUACUUACUGCUUACUAUAGAAGUGACGGAUUCCUUAGGUUCAGGGUUCUUCUGUGGUUAUGCUCCUCUGCACAUGCAUCUCCACCUGGAUGUCAGCAUUGUCCAGUCCCGGGAUUUGAGCUUCAAGGAACCAACAGGACUAUGAUAAUAAUCCUGCUACUGCUUUUAGUAAAGUAGUAAAGUCCUUUGUCUCUGACCUUGGAGUUUUGUGUCUUCUGUCAGCAUCCACAGAGUGUGGCAGGCUAACUUAUUUCUUGGUCUUCAUUUUGAUGGGGGUCCUCCUCCACUGCCAAACUGUCAAAGUAAGGUAAUGUCUUUACAGAUGACUUGUCCUGAGAGGCCAUUUCAUCAAAACCUUCCCCUCCAGUGGGAACUUGUGAAGCUGGCAUGGGCUGCAGGUGCUGGACAUCACCCAGCUUGUUCAUGUUCAUCUAGUGGCUGGAAGUGGCUUAAGAGAACUAUAAAGCUCCUAAUAGGACUACAGAGAAAUCCCCUUACCCAGUCUGCCUCACCUAAACAAGAAAGGAGAGUUUUGCCCCCAAGCACAGUCUUUGUAAUUGGAAGAGCAAGUACGUUCAUACCCACUUCCAUCUUCCAUUUCAGGUAGUGCUGACCAGACGCCUGUCCAGAUGGCAGGAGGGGUGGUUUUCUCUGCCAGGACCAUGUGACUAGCAAGUGGCAGGGGUGGGAUUGGCCACACUCUCAGCCACGAAGUCAACAGCCUCUGUAGUCACAACGAGGUGAUGAACAGUCCAUAAAAACACAAGAAGAAGCCAAGAGAUUCAGCUUCUCUGGUUUGUUUAUAAAACAAUUUAUCUUUCAACAAAAAUAACAAAUGGGGACGAGGAUUAAUAAUUUUGAUCCGAUGAAUUUCAUUUUGUGGUUUGAAAAUAUACACUUCUAAAUUCAAAAAGGUAUGUCUUCUUCAAUUCUGUCAUGUUUGAUAAAGAUUGUCUUCUUCUAUUGUAAAAGUAAAGAGAGAAAAUAAAUUAGUUAGUUCAAUAUUUUAUUGGGAAUUAGAUGAGGAGUGAAAAUAUCACGAUGUUCAGAGAGGCCCUAAGUUUCUGUGGCCACUGUGUGAGAGAGUAUUAUAUUGUGCUUCCCUGUUCUUGAGAAACCUAGUGUCUAGUUAGUGAGGAAACAGACUCCUGUGGUUGAGUAACAGUGUGGGGUGCAGGUGUGGGCUGAGACAGCUGAGGAGGAGGAGUGGGACACACGUGGAGCGCUCAGCUCUGCAGGCAGAACCUGUGGAUGGCAGCAGUAGGUGGAAGAGGCCAUCAGGAGGCAGGCUGCAAACUGGGUCCCCAGGGUCAGGAGAAGCUUAGAGAGUUGAAGCCUGCCAGGGAGGGAGAGUAGUGAGGACAGAGGCACACAGGGGACAGUAACACACAGUGAUUGGAAGAUAGUACAGAGAUGGGUCUGGAGAGUGUGGAGGACCUAUUAGGAGAGAAGUUGAAGAUACCUAAAGAUUGAACUGAAGCCAAACUGAGCAGGACCUUGAGUAUCAGACUGAGUAGAUGUGAAGUUUUGAAGGAUUGUGAGGAGAAAAAAAAAAUAAGAAGAAAAGGCGAAGAAAGUAGGAGGAAACUAAUGGAAAUUGUGCACCACUAUGAGC